UACGUAGGGUGCAAGCGUUGUCCGGAAUUAUUGGGCGUAAAGAGCUCGUAGGCGGUCUGUCGCGUCGGCUGUGAAAACUCGGGGCUCAACUCCGAGCUUGCAGUCGAUACGGGCAGGCUAGAGUUCGGCAGGGGAGACUGGAAUUCCUGGUGUAGCGGUGAAAUGCGCAGAUAUCAGGAGGAAGACCGGUGGCGAAGGCGGGUCUCUGGGCCGAUACUGACGCUGAGGAGCGAAAGCGUGGGGAGCGAACAGG
rnacentral:rRNA from 1 species